rnacentral:rRNA from 1 species
GAUGAACGCUGGCGGCGUGCCUAAUACAUGCAAGUCGAGCGAACAGAUGAGGAGCUUGCUCCUCUGACGUUAGCGGCGGACGGGUGAGUAACACGUGGAUAACCUACCUAUAAGACUGGGAUAACUUCGGGAAACCGGAGCUAAUACCGGAUAAUAUAUUGAACCGCAUGGUUCAAUAGUGAAAGACGGUUUUGCUGUCACUUAUAGAUGGAUCCGCGCCGCAUUAGCUAGUUGGUAAGGUAACGGCUUACCAAGGCAACGAUGCGUAGCCGACCUGAGAGGGUGAUCGGCCACACUGGAACUGAGACACGGUCCAGACUCCUACGGGAGGCAGCAGUAGGGAAUCUUCCGCAAUGGGCGAAAGCCUGACGGAGCAACUCCGCGUGAGUGAUGAAGGUCUUCGGAUCGUAAAACUCUGUUAUUAGGGAAGAACAAAUGUGUAAGUAACUAUGCACGUCUUGACGGUACCUAAUCAGAAAGCCACGGCUAACUACGU